AAAAAAGAGUACGUGAUGCAUGAAUCUCCAUCUUCCUCUCACCUCUCCUACCCAUUCCCAGACACCACCUCCCCCAACCUGGUUCGGCAGCACAUCUCAUUUUUCUACAGAUGGAACAGCCGCUACCCUCCAGAAUCCGUGAGUAUACAUAUCCACCAGUGUUGAAACCGUUUUCCUCCCACAGAGAGCUUGAGAUGCUUGUGAGCCCAGGCAUACACUCGUGCACGCCCACACAAAGAGAAAUGGGAAAAGAGUGUUGGAGAUUGAGAAUAAUCCUGACUCAAACUCAAACCCAAACAUUGUGCUCGAUGUUCAGAAAGGACCAAGAAUUGAGAUAUACAGAUGCCAAUCCAGAUGCCACAAAUGUUCGACAUAAGGAAAUAAGAGGAGACCAUCCAGGACUUUUAUUUGAUGGUAAGGACAAAGGUAGAGUCAUAAUCUGAUUCUAUCCUUAACAGACUUUCAUUUAUACUAAAAAUGAAGACUGAGCUGCAUUAUGAAUGUGGCAGUUUUCUACUUUUGUGUAAAUAAGAGCUAUUCAAACCCUGGCUUUCAUGAUAUAGUAGACAAGACAUUAAAAAAAAAAUCUGAGAUAGUUAAGCUAGAUUACUCUGUAUUUUAUUUAAACACUAUUUAUUAUUAGUAUUAUAUACCAGGCUUCAGGGUAGAUUUUGAAAUUGUUAAGAACCAAUCUUGUAGCAAUUAGCCACACACAGCUAUUUAAAUUUAACUUGAAG
rnacentral:lncRNA from 1 species